rnacentral:rRNA from 1 species
UACAGAGGAGCCAAGCGUUGUCCGGAUUGACUGGGCGUAAAGCGCACGCAGGCGGUUGCGCGCGUGGGGUGUGAAAUCUGGCCGCUUAACGGCCAGGCGCCAUCCCAUACGGCGCGACUGGAGUGAUGCAGAGGUCGAUGGAAUUGCCGGUGUAGUGGUGAAAUGCGUAGAGAUCGGGCAGGAACACCCCAGGGGGGAAAACCAGUCGACUGGGCAUCUACUGACGCUGAGAUGCGAGAGCGUGGGGAGCGAACCGG